ACAGGGCUGGCCCACCUAUCAGGCCGACUCUCCUCCAUCGCCGCCCCCUCCGGCGCAACUUCUCCCCCCGGUGGGCUGCCUGGCGUCUGGUCACGACCCUCCAUGGGUGCCGCCGGUACCCCUCCUCUCCUCACGCUGCCACCUAGAGGCGCCCUUCCCCACUUCUGCGCGGAGCCGCCGAGGGUUGCACAUCCCCACCGGGCAAGGGAAGCAACGCAAUUAAGUAGAUUCAGAAAUCGCAAGCAGUGGCUCAGUGUAUACUCGACUUGGUGCAGAUGGAGCUGGUGGGCACACGCAGAGUGCUCGGUUGAAUGCUUGUGGCAGCUGAACAACUUGGAAAGGGUCGGCCGCAGCUUGAGGCUGGCAUCGGCACGCUGCCAUGGCCGUGCAACGUGUGCAUCCGAGCAUCGGCGUUGACGUGCGUGACCCCAUGGUUCACGCGGCACUGCAGUUCUACUCCAAUCUUCUCCCGGCGGUCUCAUUCCCCUUCUGCAUUGUUGGCGAAGGGCGGCUUGGUGCGUGCACACGAGGUGCUCGAUACAAUGCGAGAGAGAUAGACUAGUCACCCUGUAUGUGUGGCUUUCUUUUUUGCCAACUCAGCCCAAUGGGUGGAACCAACCUGCUAGUUUUAUUGUUAAGCGUGAUUAAUAUUUGAAUCAGUGGGAUUUGUGACUCA